GAUGAACGCUGGCGGCGUGCCUAAUACAUGCGAGUCGAGCGAACAGAUAAGGAGCUUGCUCCUUUGACGUUAGCGGCGGACGGGUGAGUAACACGUGGGUAACCUACCUAUAAGACUGGGAUAACUUCGGGAAACCGGAGCUAAUACCGGAUAACAUUUGGAACCGCAUGGUUCUAAAGUGAAAGAUGGUUUUGCUAUCACUUAUAGAUGGACCCGCGCCGUAUUAUCUAGUUGGUAAGGUAACGGCUUACCAAGGCGACGAUACUUAGCCGACCUGAGAGGGGGAUCGGCCACACGGGAACUGAGACACGGUCCAGACUCCUACGGGAGGCAGCAGUAGGGAAUCUUCCGCAAUGGGCGAAAGCCUGACGGAGCAACGCCGCGUGAGUGAUGAAGGGUUUCGGCUCGUAAAACUCUGUUAUUAGGGAAGAACAAAUGUGUAAGUAACUGUGCACGUCUUGACGGUACCUAAUCAGAAAGCCACGGCUAACUACGUG
rnacentral:rRNA from 1 species